GAUGAACGCUGGCGGCGUGCCUAAUACAUGCAAGUCGAGCGAACGGACGAGAAGCUUGCUUUUCUGAUGUUAGCGGCGGACGGGUGAGUAACACGUGGAUAACCUACCUAUAAGACUGGGAUAACUUCGGGAAACCGGAGCUAAUACCGGAUAAUAUUUUGAACCGCAUGGUUCAAAAGUGAAAGACGGUCUUGCUGUCACUUAUAGAUGGAUCCGCGCUGCAUUAGCUAGUUGGUGAGGUAACGGCUUACCAAGGCAACGAUGCAUAGCCGACCUGAGAGGGUGAUCGGCCGCACUGGAACUGAGACACGGUCCAGACUCCUACGGGAGGCAGCAGUAGGGAAUCUUCCGCAAUGGGCGAAAGCCUGACGGAGCAACGCCGCGUGAGUGAUGAAGGUCUUCGGAUCGUAAAACUCUGUUAUUAGGGAAGAACAUAUGUGUAAGUAACUGUGCACAUCUUGACGGUACCUAAUCAGAAAGCCACGGCUAACUACGUG
rnacentral:rRNA from 1 species